AUGUUAUGCCAUGAGUCAUGGGACCAGCCUGAGUCCUGGGGGACCUCGUCUGACCACACCCUACUCCCCAAGUCCCCAGCAGUAUCAUGAGAUCCUUCUUGUUGUUCGUUAGCCUUGGGCAGCUGAAGUCAGGUAUUUGCGAUCAGAAUCAUUUGGAACUUGCUGAAUUGUUUGGAAAAUCCUUCUGUAGAGGAGAACUUGUUGCCUUCUGAUGAACUGCUUUAACAUUAGUGUUGCUAGGGCUGUGCCUCGAUGCCUUGGGUUUCCUACAGGGUGAGUGCCCCAGAAGGAACACAGAAAGCUGGGCUGCCGCUUCAUCACGGCUUUCUCGGAAAACGGGGGCGCUGAGAAGCCCAACUUCCAGCUAUAUAUGUCGCCACCGCCCACAGGGCCCCCGACGGCGAUGCUGGUGACAGCGCUCCCUGCGUGGGCGCCACUCUCCCCGUGCUCCCCGCGCCUGCAGCCAGGCACGACGGUGUGGGUGUGCCCGCCCGAGGC
rnacentral:lncRNA from 1 species